UCUAUCUGGGGCAGAGACUGUGGCUUUAUUCAUCUUUGCACCCUGAGGGUCCUUGGUACAAAGGAGCGACUCCUUAAAUAUCAGCAAGUGCUCUGGGCUUGGAGCGUAUGGAUCUCCUUGGGGAAGACUCCUGGGAGGGCACAAGUUCUGCACCGGCUCCAUCCUCCGUGUCUUCAGAUUUGGGGCCACCUUCCAAGAUCGAAAGCCCUGGGGUGGUUUACCAUGUCUUGUCCAUUUCCCCUCAUCCUAUCUGUCUCCACCUGUUAACAGCACCUUCAAUCAUCUCAUCUGUUUCCACCGGGACCUGGAUUGAAACUGUUAUGCUCUUCAAAUAAAAGGCUUACUACUAA